CGAAACUGAUCUGAGUCUGUCUCGUCUGUCUGUGUGAGAGUGAACAACCGUCCAAAUGGCUCAGCAGGGAGUUCUGCUGGACCAGGACCUGUUCUGUUGUUCUGUCUGUCUGGAUCUACUGAAGGAGCCGGUCACUACUGCCUGUGGACACAAUUACUGUAGAAUCUGUAUUGAGGGCUGCUGGGAUCAGGAUGUUCUGAAAGGAGUCUAUAGCUGUCCUCAGUGCAGAGAGACCUUCACUCCAAGGCCUAAUCUGAGGAAAAAUAACAUGUUGGCUGAGAUGGUGGAGAAACUGAAGAAGACAGGACUUCAGGCUGCUCCCCCUCCUGCUAUGUGCUAUGCUGGACCUGGAGAUGUGACGUGUGAUUUCUGCACUGGGACUAGAAAGCAGAAAGCCCUCAUGUCCUGUCUGGCGUGUCUGGCCUCUUACUGUGAGACUCAUCUCCAACCUCACUAUGAAUAUCCUGCUUUCAAGAAGCACAAGCUGGUCAAAGCCACCGCACAACUACAGGAGAAGAUCUGCUCUCAUCAUGACAAACUGCUGGAGGUUUUUUGUCGAACCGAUCAGCAGUGUAUCUGUAUGCUGUGUACAAUGGAUGAACAUAAAGGCCAUGAUACAGUGUCAGCUGCAGCAGAGAGGACUGAGAAACAGAGGCAGCUGGGGAUGAGUCAGCAGAAGGUCCAGCAGAGAUUCCAGGAGAGAGAGAAGGAGCUGAAGGAGCUCCAACAGGCUGUGGAGUCUUUCAAGGCCUCCGCUGUGAUGCCUGCUCCGCUGGUUUCUAUGGCGACUUGACCACGCUGGGCGGCGGCUGCGAGGAGUGUCUCUGUAACAACAACAUCGACCCUACGGACAGUGACCAUGUGACAGUGUGACAGGAGAGUGUCUGCGUUACCUCACAACACCCAGGGACCCCACUGUCAGAGCUGUAAGCCUGGCUACUAUGGAGACGCACUGGCCCAGGACUGCAAAGAGUGCUCCUGUGACCGGCAGGGGGACGGAGGUGACCCAAUGCCCUCUGGACAGCCCGUGUCUCUGUGUACCGCUCACGGGGCAUUGUCCGGUGGUCACGCUGUGUGACGAGUGUGCCGACAGCUUCUGGAACAAUAAGGGAGAGUCUGGGUGCCAAUCGUGCAAAUGUGACCCUACCAACUCCCUCAAUUACCACUGUGACAAGGCAAGGCCUCUAUACUCCCUAGCACAGUAUUCUAUACUAUUCUAUAUCAAACAAAGCAUGGUAAACUGAGAUUUAUUUUCCCAUACUAUAUUGGUAAGCCUUCAUAUUUGACUCUUCGGGUGUCUGGUCAGUGCCAGUGCCAUACUGAGUUUGGAAGCAGACAGUGUGAUGAGUAUGAGGAGAAUCACUUUGGGAACCCUGGCCUGCGCUGUGUCAGUAAGUUGUGGCCAAAAGUGAUUCAUUGAUGGGUCUUUUAAUUCUUAGCACCACAAAGCGAGACAAUGCUGUUGUGUAUAGAUUUCCCUUCCCUCCUUAUCCUGUCUCCCUAGCCUGCGACUGCAAAUGGAGGGUACCGACCGGCCUGCCUGCGACCCAUUGACGGGUGAGUGCCUGUGCCGCAUUGGUGUGAAGGGCAUCUUCUGUGCCCCUGGGUAUGACCAAGUCUUCCCUGCCUGCACCCCGUGCCAACCCUGUGCUGUCCUGUGGGCGGACAACGUCACCGACGUCCACCGUGUCGCCCAGAGGAUGUGUACCUUUAUGCCUUGCAAUGGCGAGAAACUGGAGCCAGGAUACAGAGUCGGUGGCAACGCAUGCUGGAGAUGCACUCCAAGUUGGACUAUCUGGUGAACCUGACUGGGAGAUUUCUACCCCAGGUGAAGGAUGUGGAGAAGUUCUGUGUCAGAAUCUCGUAUGUAAAUAACAGUCUCUCAUCUUUUUUCAUUUCUGAAUAUUAUUAUUCAACAUACUCUUACCAUGAGUUGAAGUGAUUUAUACUAUACUUUGACAGUUAUCUUGGAGCUGUACACAUUUUCCUUUGCUCUUUUUCCAUCCUCGCAGGAAGCUCAAAGACACCAUAGAUCCCUACUCUCACGCCCUGACCUGAGAGAGCCAUUUUUCUCUGUUUGUUAGGUCAGGGUGUGAUAUGGGGUGGGCAUUCUAUGUAUUUAUAUUUAUAUGUUUUCGCCAGGUAUGGUUUCCAAUCAGAGGCAGCUGUCUACCGUUGUCUCUGAUUGGGAACCAUACUUACGCAGCCCUUUUUCCCUCCUUGAGUUGUGGGAUCUUAGUGUAGUACUGCUCUGAUAAGCCUGCAAGCCUUGACGGUCGUUUACCAUUGUUUAUGAUUUUGUUUAAGUGUUCUGAGUUCAAAUAAAUAUCAAGAUGAACACUUA